GGAGAAGGGCCAUAGCUCAGUGGCAGAUCAUCUACUUUGCAUGCAGAAUGACCCAGGUUCAAUCCCUAACAUCUCCA